rnacentral:rRNA from 1 species
AGUGAACGCUGGCGGUAGGCCUAACACAUGCAAGUCGAACGGCAGCACAGUAAGAGCUUGCUCUUACGGGUGGCGAGUGGCGGACGGGUGAGGAAUACAUCGGAAUCUACUUUUUCGUGGGGGAUAACGUAGGGAAACUUACGCUAAUACCGCAUACGACCUACGGGUGAAAGCAGGGGAUCUUCGGACCUUGCGCGAUUGAAUGAGCCGAUGUCGGAUUAGCUAGUUGGCGGGGUAAAGGCCCACCGAGGCGACGAUCCGUAGCUGGUCUGAGAGGAUGAUCAGCCACACUGGAACUGAGACACGGUCCAGACUCCUACGGGAGGCAGCAGUGGGGAAUAUUGGACAAUGGGCUCAAGCCUGAUCCAGCCAUACCGCGUGGGUGAAGAAGGCCUUCGGGUUGUAAAGCCCUUUUGUUGGGAAAGAAAAGCAGCAGGUUAAUACCCCGCUGUUCUGACGGUACCCAAAGAAUAAGCACCGGCUAACUUCGUG